rnacentral:piRNA from 1 species
UAGCACUGUGUAUGAAUGGGGAGG